UUCGACAGCCGUACCACCCUGGGCAGCCUCCUCAUCUCCUCUGUUCUGAGAAGCUAAGCAGAGUCAGGCCUGAGUGGUACAGAGAUGGAAGGCCAUGGCCUUGCAACCCAGGCUUCUCUAGUGC
rnacentral:rRNA from 1 species